rnacentral:rRNA from 1 species
UACGGGGGGGGCAAGCGUUGUUCGGAAUUACUGGGCGUAAAGGGCUCGUAGGCGGCCAACUAAGUCAUACGUGAAAUCCCUCGGCUUAACCGGGGAACUGCGUCUGAUACUGGAUGGCUUGAGUUCGGGAGAGGGAUGCGGAAUUCCAGGUGUAGCGGUGAAAUGCGUAGAUAUCUGGAGGAACACCGGUGGCGAAGGCGGCGUUCUGGACUGCAACUGACACUGAGAAACGAAAGCCAGGGUAGCAAACGGG